UCUCUCCCCAUCGCCCUAGCUGCAGAGCAUAUUCAGACAGCUCUCCAAUCAGUUCAUCAGUAAUAAAGGUGACAUGCUGAUCCUCAUCUGUUUUUCUCUUGCAUCUGCCAAUUGAUUCUGCACUUGAGAGGGGAAUAAGUAUAUUUAUUUAUUGGGUUUCCCUCAAAUUCCAACAGAGAAGUUGGUAUCAGUUGCAAAACAAUCAACUGGCAUCCGGGCCACACAGCAGCAUAGGAAUCUUGGUUUUAGCUUCCACUAAAAUAUCAAUUAUUUGAGGGCAAAAAAUGUCCAAUUCCUGGGCCUUUAAGAUAGGAAGUCAGGUCUGUGGAUGGGGUGAGGUCACCAGGAUGAGGUCACAAAGGCAUUGAUGCCCCUUUGUCCUAUCAUGUGACCACUUGUCACACUUCCAUCAAACAGUACCUGCCCCUUAGGUGUGCUAGGGAAUAAAUGAAAUGCCUGGGACAUCAUCGUUAAGUGGCAUCUGAUGCAUAAGCAGUGCCCUAGGAAUGGGGUUGCCUGCCUUGGUCUCUAAAGGAUGGGUUCAAAAGGCAAGAGCAGCACACAAGAAGAUAGCUUCAAGCAGGAGAUAAAGCUUGGCCCAGGGCCCAAAGGGGAUACGACCCUUCAGGUUGGCCCUGACCUCUGGGUUGGAUUACCAGUGACACAAUGAACAUUUCAUUAUGAGGCCAUCCCUUGAGGUAGUUGCAUUGCAACAGCUCUCCCUACCCAGUGCUGCAUUUCCAAUGCUUUCUCUGUUCAGGCUGCUGGGUGACAUUUCUAUGUCUCCCCUUCAACGGUGAAAUAUUUCAGUGGUUGUCCAUCACCUAUGGGAGUCUGACAUGGCAUAAUCAGGCCACUGGGGCAUUGCUAGUUGUGCUGUCCCUGAUAUUCACCGUGGUAGGCAGUUUCUGAAAUGGCUCCCAGUGAUCUCCAACUCCUGAAAUUCACACUCUGUGUAAUCCCCUCCCUUUGAGUGUGGGCUAGACCUGGUGGCCAAAGUGAUAGGAUUUCACUUCUGAUGUUAGGCUAUGAAAGGCUGUGACCGCUCUCUCUGCCUCUUCUCUCUCACUUGAAGCAAACUGACAUGCUGAAAGCUGCCCUAUGGAGAGGCUCAUGUGGCAAGGAACAGAGGGUGGCUUCUGGCCAACACCCAGUGAGGAACUCAGGCCCUCAGUCAAACAGCCUGCAAGGAACUGAACCCUGCCAAUAACCCUGGGUUGAAAGCUUCCCUUUGGAGAAGAACUGAGGGCUGUCUCUGGUCAAUAGCACUGAGGAACUGAAUCCAGCAAACAAUUAUGUGAAGAAACUUGGAAGCUUGUCCUCCCCUCUAGUUGAGCUUUGAGAUGACUGCCGCCCUAGUGGACACCUUGAUUGAAGCCUUAUGAGAAACCCUAAGCCAGAGAACCCAAUUAAGCUACGCUUACAUUCCUAACACAGAGAAAAUAUGAGCUAAUAAAUGUUGUUUCAAACCACUAAGCUUUGGAGUAAUAUGUGACACAGCAACAGACACCUAACGCACCUGCCCUAAGGUCGGGCUACACUGCAUUUUCCCCAGAAACAUUACACUCUCUCCUCCCCAGGGCCUUUGC
rnacentral:lncRNA from 10 species